rnacentral:rRNA from 1 species
UUAAGGAACUCGGCAAAAUGACCCCGUAACUUCGGGAGAAGGGGUGCUCUAUUAGGGUGCAAGCCCGAGAGAGCCGCAGUGAAUAGGCCCAGGCGACUGUUUAGCAAAAACACAGGUCUCUGCAAAACCGUAAGGUGACGUAUAGGGGCUGACGCCUGCCCGGUGCUGGAAGGUUAAGAGGAGUGCUUAGCUUCGGCGAAGGUACGAAUUGAAGCCCCAGUAAACGGCGGCCGUA